ACCAGCUUGUAAUGAACCUUGAAUUGUAAGUGUAACCCUUCUUCAUAAUAACAGUCUUCAUCCAACAGCGCUGUUUGGUCACUAAUGGGUUCUUUUGUUGUUGCAGAUGGCUUUGAAUUUCAUGAUGUUGCAAUCGGAAAGCCUUGAACGCUUCAGGAUCAGUUCUAAUAUUUUCCUGUUGGUAAGCCAUUUUAAAGUCAAUAUACAGUUUAUGGUUAUUUUCCAAACACUGAUCCAAAAUGAAAAGUCCAAGAAAUCCCUUCCCAUAAUUCAUGCUGACGCUAAGCGUACACUUCUCCAGUUUUGGCAAAGUAUACUGUGUACACUGGUUGUGUGUUGAGUGUAAUGCUUUCCCUGAGAUCCUCCUGCUCCUUCCGUCUCCUGAGGUAUUUCUAUUUGCUGGUAUUUCUGUUUUGUGAGGGCCUUGACACUGUUGUAUGUGUUCAUGUUUGACUGGUUUACGUGAGCUGCGAAUACUCAGCUAUCACUGAUCUACAUAACUGUGGUCUUGAAGGAAGAUGGAGGUUAAUAAUGCAGAGGAGACAAAUCUGGGCUUUUAAGUGUGACAUACAUUGCAUUCCUUUUCACAGUAUUCUAUUUUUUUUUUUCCAAUUUAUUUUAUUUUCCUUGAUCGAUUCUUCAUUCACGUCUUCUAUUUCAGGUCAUCUCUAUCUCACCUUUUUCCCCCAAUAAAGUUACAAUAUCUUUCUCCUGAUGUUUUAUCUUAGAUACUCAGUGUGGCUCACCACAGCUGGCUGAGAGAAAAAAAGCCCAAACUGCUCAUUUGCCCUGACAAGUCUUCACUCCCUGUGUUUUUGAUGAUUGUCUGUGCUCUGUGCUUGACUUCAGCAGCAGCUAAUAAGUAACUCCUGAUCCAGCAAAACUUCCAAAGGUUGACAGAUAUCACUUGAGCUCCCAUUUCAGAGUAGAUGGAAGCAUUCAUGAUAAAAUAUGGAGACUUUGGAACCAUGAGAAGAACACUCAGACUCCUGAGCAGCUGCCUGGGACCUCCACCACACGUGCAAAAAAGCUCAGUAUAUGUCUUGCUGAUACCUGUUCUUAAUGGCGUAAGGGUCACUGUAGCCAAACUGCUGUGUUAGGGACCAAGACUACGGAAAAAAAUUCAUCAGCUAUAUUUACACUGAUGCAGCAGAAUUGCCAGGUCACAGCCUGUACCAAUGGUUGAGCACCA
rnacentral:lncRNA from 1 species